AACGUAGGGGGCCAGCGUUGCUCGGAAUUACUGGGCGUAAAGGGUCCGUAGGCGGUGUGGCAAGUCGGAAGUGAAAUCUCAGGGCUUAACCCUGAGGCUGCUCCCGAAACUGCCGUGCUAGAGUGCGAGAGAGGCGAGUGGAAUUGCAGGUGUAGCGGUGAAAUGCGUAGAUAUCUGCAGGAACACCCGAGGCGAAAGCGGCUCACUGGCCCGGUACUGACGCUGAGGUGCGAAAGCGUGGGGAGCAAACGGG
rnacentral:rRNA from 1 species